rnacentral:lncRNA from 1 species
CCAGGAAAGUGUAUGGUGCAUGUGUUUGGCGCAUGCUUGUGGGAUUGCCUGUGUGUAGAGUGUAGUGUGGUAUUGUGUAAAUAGGUCAAUUUUGGGGUGUAAUAUGUGUGGCUAGGGGCUGUAGAGAGUGCGUGUAUAGGGGCAUAGUGUUAUAGGGGAUGUAGCGAGUGUGUGCAUACGGGCAGUAGUGUGUGUGUAUAGGUGACGUAGU